rnacentral:rRNA from 1 species
UUGAUCCUGGCUCAGGACUAACGCUGGCGGCGUGUAUCAGGCAUGCAAGUCGUGCGAGAAAGCUCCCUUCGGGGAGUAAGUAGAGCGGCAAACGGGUGAGUAACACGUGGGUAAUUUGCCUUCAGGUUCGGGAUAACUAUUGGAAACGAUGGCUAAUACCGGAUAAAAUUAAAGAUUAUAUGUUCUUUAAUUAAAGAUGGGGAUCCUUCGGGACCUAUCUCCUGGAGAUAAGCCCGCGGACUAUUAGCUUGUUGGUAGGGUAACGGCCUACCAAGGCGAUGAUGGUUAGCAGGUCUGAGAGGAUGAUCUGUCACAAUGGGACUGAGACACGGCCCAUACUCCUACGGGAGGCAGCAGCUAAGAAUCUUGCGCAAUGGGGGAAACCCUGACGCAGCGACGCCGCGUGAGCGAUGAAGGCCUUAUCGGUUGUAAAGCUCUUUUAUUAGGGAAUAAAUGCUGAUAUUAUAAUAUACUAUCAGCUUGACUGUACCUAAUGAAUAAGCCCCGGCUAAUUACGUGCCAGCAGCCGCGGUAAUACGUAAGGGGCGAGCGUUGUCCGGAAUUACUGGGCGUAAAGGGCGCGUAGGCGAUUAAACAAGUCAGGUGUGAAAUCCCUCGGCUUAACCGAGGAACUGCGCUUGAAACUGUUUGGUUAGAGUUUAGGAGGGGAGAACGGAAUUCCUGGUGUAGGGGUGAAAUCUGUAGAUAUCAGGAGGAACAUCUGCGGCGAAGGCUGUUCUCUGGACUAAAACUGACGCUGAGGCGCGAAAGCGUGGGGAGCGAACACGAUUAGAGACCCUGGUAGUCCACGCCGUAAACUUUGAAUACUA